AAACCAACUGGGAUUACCUUAGUAACGGCGAGUGAAGCGGUAAAAGCUCAAAUUUGAAAUCUGGUACUUUCAGUGCCCGAGUUGUAAUUUGUAGAAUUUGUCUUUGAUUAGGUCCUUGUCUAUGUUCCUUGGAACAGGACGUCAUAGAGGGUGAGAAUCCCGUUUGGCGAGGAUACCUUUUCUCUGUAAGACUUUUUCGAAGAGUCGAGUUGUUUGGGAAUGCAGCUCAAAGUGGGUGGUAAAUUCCAUCUAAAGCUAAAUAUUGGCGAGAGACCGAUAGCGAACAAGUACAGUGAUGGAAAGAUGAAAAGAACUUUGAAAAGAGAGUGAAAAAGUACGUGAAAUUGUUGAAAGGGAAGGGCAUUUGAUCAGACAUGGUGUUUUUUUAAUGUGCAAGUCUCUCGUGGACAUGUGCCUCUGGAAAUUAACACUGGGCCAACAUCAGUUCUGGCGGCAGGAUAAAUCAUUAAGAAUGUAGCUACCUCGGUAGUGUUAUAGCUUUUUGGAAUACUGCCAGCUGGGAUUGAGGACUGCGCUUCGGCAAGGAUGUUGGCAUAAUGGUUAAAUGCCGCCCGUCUU
rnacentral:rRNA from 2 species